CUGAUGCAGCCAUGCCGCGUGUGUGAAGAAGGCCUUCGGGUUGUAAAGCACUUUCAGCGAGGAGGAAAGGAUGCUGGCUAAUAUCCAGCAUCUGUGACGUUACUCGCAGAAGAAGCACCGGCUAACUCCGUGCCAGCAGCCGCGGUAAUAC
rnacentral:rRNA from 1 species